UCGCUCUCGCGGGCCGCCGGGCUUUCCCUCGUCCCACUGGGAAGCGCCCUGCGACGCGGCUCAACGGGACCGCGCGGCAGGAUCGAGAAGUGCGGCACUUCGAGGCCGCUAAGAUUCUCAAAGUAUUCUCUUCCAAAAUGCACUUGGAUCAUCACAGUUCCUUGGGCACGCUGAAUGGAGUCCCCUUCAGUGCAUCUAACAUGACAACCAAUUGUUAGAGAGUGUGCAACCGCCAGAGAAGAAUCUUCAAAUAUUUCAUUUCUGGAGCUGGGAAGAUGGCUUAGUGCAUAAGAUCAUUUGCUCUGCAGGCAUAAGUUUGAAUCCCCAGCACCCUCAUAAACCCAGGCAUGGCUUCAAGUAUCAAACACCAGCACUAGGGAGGGAAGACAGGUUGAUCCCAGGCAAAAGAUGAACUUCUGAUUCAGUGAAAGACCCUGUCUCAAGGCAGCAAGGCAGAGGGCAAUAGAGGAAGACACCUGAUGUCAUACUCUGGCCAUUCUUCAUGGACCAUCUUUCCAGACCCUUCUCUGUGUAGAGUGGCUUAGAAUACCCAAACUGAAGAGAGCUUGCAUUCAAGAUACCUAACUCCUUCGUAAAGAUAAUUCAUACGAUUCAAAAUAAUUACACCGUCAUUAACACCAGGUGUUGGGGUCCACGUGAUCUGUAGUUCUUUCCUCAAGCACAAACCUUGACCCAGAUGUGGCCCAGUGACUGCAGGCACGAGACCAAGCCCAAGAGGAAUGUUCUCUGGAACAAAACAAAGCCAAAUGGACAGAGAAAUACCAAAGGAAGAACUCAGAUAAGAGGAAAGGAUAUUUAUUUGCCGGGAAGUGUGGAAGGAAGAAUUCAGAUAAGGGUCAAAGAUACUGUUUGCUCAAGCUCUGCUUACAAUGCUGCUCUGGUAGUCAGGUAAACAAUACAUAAGCAUCAGAAAAAUAAAAACUAUUCAUUCUUGAAAUGAACC